AGGAUUAGUAGUUAAUAUUUUAUAAUAGGGGUUUUGUAAACCUUAGUAAGCUUGGUCUCUAAUCCUA
rnacentral:tRNA from 1 species